AGACCUUGAGGGCAGACAGCCUGGUGGUGAAGGCUUGGUGCGGGGAGUUGAUUUACAUCACCUAGGGCACUUAUGCAGACAUAUUAUUGUUGACUGACCCCUUUCCUGUGACACUUGACCAGGACUUCCUACUUCAAGCAAGAAUAAUUUCUUCUGCGUCUCCACUGCUCUUCUCCUCGUCCAACCACGAACUCAUCGAGGAUCUGGAUGCAAUUCCAGUCUCCAGGUGCCAAACUCACAAUUGAAGGAGCCAGAUCAGAGAUCCACAAAGCCCUAAAUGAAACACUUUGAAGGUGUCUCUGGAGCCGGGGAAACAGCUCAUGGCUAAAGCAUGUGCUGUAUCAGCAAGAGGACCUGAGUUUGGAUCCUCAGCACCCUUGUCAAGGACAGACAUGGCAACACAACCUUGUAACCUCGGCGCUGGAGUGGAGGUGGGCUGAUCCUGAAGGCUGGCUGCCCAGCUGAAGUGCCGAGCUCCAGGUUCAAUGAGUGACCCUAUCUCAGAAAAAGAGAGGUCCCCGGGGGAAGGAGGGGGCAUCCUGACCUCAGUCAUUGGGCUACAGAGAGAGAGAGACAGAGAGAGACACAC